ensembl:lincRNA
CUCAGAAUUCUUCCCAGUGCAUUAUUUAAAAUUUUUUAUUUAUUAUUAUUUUUGGUUGCACUGAGUCUUUGUUGCCGCAUGUAGGCUUUCUCUAGUUGCAGUGAGCAGGGGCUUCUCUUUGUUGCAGUGCUUAGGAAGCCUAAGAGAAGCAGUAGCUUCUCUUGUUGCGGGCAACAGGCUUUAGGCAUGUGGGCUUCAGCAGUUGCAGCCUGAGGGCUCACUAGUUGCGGUGUGAGGCUCUAGGGCUUAUGGGCUUCAGUAGUUGCAGGACACAAGCUCAGCAGCUGUGGCUCGAGGGCCUUACAGCUCGGGCUUUAGUAGUUGUGGCACAUGGGCUUAGCUACCCCACAGCGUGUGGGGUCUUCCCACACCAGGGAUUGAACCCACGUCCCCUGCAUUGGCAGAUAGAUUCUUAACCAUUGGACCACCAGGGAAGUCCUGGACUGAGCCUUUCGCUGAGGGAGACACGGGCGUCCUGUCUCUCUCCCUCUGCCUCUUGCACGCUUCUAGAGCGUAUCGUGCCUCCCUAUUCGAAUCCCCAUGGAGGUGCCCCACCACCUGGAGGAAGAAGGUCGAAUGUCUCAGCUCAGCCACUGAUGUCCACCAGGAUCCUCCUCUGUGCCUUGUCCCUGCCCCUUAGGCAGGACCCACUGCCUAAGAGCACCCUGUUCCUGUUCCAGGGACACCUGCCUGAAGACCUUAUCCUACUCACUCCAGAAAUGUCCAUCCACCCUCCUCCCACGGUGCCUCUGUCCUGGGCAUUGCCCUGCACUUCAUUGCAUUGUGUUAUCUUGACCCCUGGACUCCUUUCACCCCUCCACGCCCCCUGCCAUGACAUCCCAGGUCCUGUUGAAGCUGGGGAGCUGGAAGAAGUGUGCGUGGAGGUGACAGCGGAGGAGCUGGGUGAAGGUGGAGGCAAGGAGAGACCAGUGGAGGUGGUACCUGGAGAGAUGGACCAGCACGUUUGCGGAACAGGCUGAGCCCGACCCUGAUGACAGAGUCCAUUCUGAUCUCCGCGUCACAUGCUGAGCCUCAGUCUUUGGGUCCCAGACUGAAUCCCUGUCCCAGCGUCAUCGACUGAACCUCAGUCCUGGUGUCAUACGCCAAGCCCUGAUUGUGGCGUCAUAGACUGAGUCCCAGUACUGGACUCAUGGACUGAGCUCCCAUCCAAGAGCUUCGAGCUGUUCCCCAGUCCUCAUCACACACUAAACAUUGACCCCAGGCACACUGAGCCCGGACUCUGAAGUCACACUCUGAGCCUUGGUUCUGGUGACAGAUUCUCUCAAGCUCCAGAAUCUGUCUUCAGUGGCCUCCGGUCACCACUGCCUGAUAUUCCCACCUGCAAUCCAACCUCAAGCUGUCAAGACCAAACUCCUUGUCUUCCUUUCUCCUUCGGGGUCUUUGUAUCAGUGUGACUGUAGUGUCUCCCCAGUGACCCCCACCAGAAACCCGAACUCGAGCCUUGCCUCCUCCCAACCCCUCAGGACACCAAGCCUUGUCAAUUCCCCCCCCCCCCAACAAUGUUUCUCCACUCAGUCCUCUUUUUAAAAAAAAUUUCCACUUAUUUAGCUUUAUUUAUUCAUUUGGCUGUGCCAGGUCUUAGUUGUGGCAUGCAAACUCUCAGGUGCAGCGAGUAGGAUCUAGUUUCCUGACCAGGGAUCGAACCCAGAGCCCCUUCACUGGGAGCACAGUCCUAACCUCUAGGCCACCAGGCAGUCCCUCCAUCCUUCUUUUGUUUCGCCUCUGACAUGCUCUUAAUAUCAGCUUCCAUUAUGCUCUAUCUGGGUUUCCCAGAUGGCUCAGCAUUAGAGAAUCUACCUGCCAAUUCAGGAGACCUGGGUUCAAUCCCUGGGUCAGGAAGAUCCCCUGGAGGAGGGCAUGGCAACCCACUCCAGUAUUCUUGCCCAGAGAAUCCCAUGGACAGAGGAGCCUGGUGGGCUACAGUUCACGAAGUUGCAAAGAGUCAGACACCACUGAACGACCGAGCACGCACGCACACACACACCCCUUUUCUACUUCUGGAUGUACUUUAACUGGACCACUUGUUCACUUCUAGACCAGGAGUUUCACAGGCCAAGUCUGGCUCAACACCUGAUUUUGUAAUUAAGAUUUUAGUAGCACACAGCCACACCUAUUCAUGCACCUUGCUGUCUAUGGGUGCCAUCGUGCUACGAUGCCAGUGUCCAGCAGGUGCCUCAGAGGCCACAUGGCCUGCAAAGCUGAAGGCAUUUACUCCCUGGCCCUGUACAGAAAGGGUUUUCUGACUCCCACUCUGCAGUCCAUGGGGGCAAGUUCUGUAUCCAACCCACUUUUACAUCCCCCAAGUCUCUUGAUCAGUUCGAAUAUGUCUUGCUUCAUGCUGAGCCUGUCACAUUCUUUCCAUUCUUCUAUCUUAACAACAACCCUCUGAGUCCCCACAUUAUGGAAGGAGAAACUGAGGCUCAGAGAGGUGUACUGACUUGUCCAAGGUCAUACCAGGCUGUCAAGAGGCAGAGCUGACGGGAAGCCAGGUAUUUCUUACUCCAAAGCAAGGGCUCCUAGUUAGUCGCUCAGUUGUGCCCAGCUCUUUGCAACCCCAUGGACUGCAGCCCACCAGGCUCCUCUGUCCAUGGGAUUUUCCAGGCAAGAAUGCUGGAGUGGGUUGCCAUUUCCUUCUCCAGGGGAUCUUCCCGACCCAGGGAUUGAACCCAGGUCUCCUGCACUGCAGGCAGAUUCUUUACUGACUGAGCUAAAUGGAUAGAUGGGUGGAUAAAUGAUUAGAUGGAAGGGUGGAUGGAUGAAUUGGAUGAAUUGUUGGAUAGAUGGUUGUUGGCUAGUUGGCUAGUUGCUUGGCUGUCUGGCUGAAGGGAAAGUUGUCUGGCUAUAUGGUUGGAUGAAUGGAUGUUUAGAUGGGUGGAUGGUUACCCACAUGGAUGAAUGGCUGGUUAGAGGGAGGGAGGGAUGUGUAGACGCAUGGGUGGAUGGUGACUGGAUGGCUGGUUGGAUGGAUUAAUGAGUAGAUGUUUAGAUGGAUAACUAGUUGGAUGGUUCUUUGGAUGGACAGGUGGAUGGAUGCCUAGAUACAAGGAUGCAUGGAUAGAUAGUUGGCUGUCUCUCUGGUUGAGUAGAUGAAUGGGUAGAUGGUUAGAUGGAUGGAUGGAUGAAAACAUGGAUACAUGGAGGCAUGAAUGGAUAGUUGGUUACCUGACUGGUUGGAUGGAUAAAAAAGUGGAUGGUUAGAUGGAUGCAUGGAUGGAUGAAUGGAUGGAUAGUUGGGAUAAGUCGUGUGGCAGUGUCCAGCAGCAGUGAUUGCUCUGCAUUCUGGAGAUGGUAUUCCUAGGGGAUGAGGGUGGGGAGAGCUCUAGAUGGAAGGAGGCAGGACUGUGGCAGAGAAGCCAGGCAAGAAGGAAACCAAGUUGAGAUACAGAAUGUACGCAUGAUAAACAUGCUUAUCAUAUACUAGGGGAAGAGUGGGAAAAGUGUGGCCAAAAUGAGUAACUGAGCAACCGAGGGAAAGGGCCAGCGGGACUCUGCCCUGCUGCAAAUCCCAACCCCCCUUUCCUAGCCUUGUCUGGCUCCCCACAUCUACUCCAUUAUUUUCCCAGGAGGCCCCAUCUGGUGCCCAGACAGCCAGUUAUAGAGCAUAAGAGGAGGGCGCAGAAAGGCUAGAGAUGGGAAUGACAUGGUUAGGGAGCCCCUUUCUGCGCCGCACCCCCAAACUUCUCUCUAAGGAGCCGCCUAGCAGCUU